UUAACACAUUACCAUGGAAUGUUCUCCAACUGAUGCAACUACGGCACAAAAUGCCAGCGGUUUAAAUGAAGAUUCAACGCAGUCUUUGACUGAGACUACAGGUGCUGCUACCAAUGCCAGCAAAUCAGACGAGAAAGCCAUGCAGAGUUUAAUCGAGGCUGUGAAGAGACGU
rnacentral:lncRNA from 1 species